ACACUCUUCACAACGGAUCGUCCGGCACGUACCUGCCGGUGAAGGGAAAUA
rnacentral:ncRNA from 1 species